ACGUAGGGGGCGAGCGUUGUCCGGAUUUAUUGGGCGUAAAGGGCGUGUAGGCGGUCUGUUAAGUCAGAGGUGAAAAUCCAGGGCUCAACCCUGGAACUGCCUCUGAAACUGGUGGACUUGAGUGCUCUAGAGGGCAGUGGAAUUCCCGGUGUAGCAGUGAAAUGCGUAGAGAUGCGGAGGAACACCGAUGGCGAAGGCAGCCCCCUGGGCCUGCACUGACGCUCAUGCACGAAAGCGUGGGGAGCAAACAGGA
rnacentral:rRNA from 1 species